rnacentral:rRNA from 1 species
CGUAGGUGGCAAGCGUUGUCCGGAUUUAUUGGGUUUAAAGGGUGCGUAGGCGGCUUUGUAAGUCAGUGGUGAAAUAUGGCAGCUUAACUGUCAGGGUGCCAUUGAUACUGCGGAGCUUGAGUACAGAUGAGGUAGGCGGAAUUGACGGUGUAGCGGUGAAAUGCUUAGAUAUCGUCAAGAACACCGAUAGCGAAGGCAGCUUACUGGGCUGUAACUGACGCUGAGGCACGAAAGUGUGGGGAUCAAACAGGAUUAGAUACCCUGGUAGUCCACACUGUAAACGUUGAUGACUCGCUGUUGGCGAUACACGGCCAGCGGCAGAGAGAAAUCGUUAAGUCAUCCACCUAGGGAGUACGCCGGCAACGGUG